rnacentral:rRNA from 1 species
AUUGAACGCUGGCGGCAUGCUUUACACAUGCAAGUCGAACGGUAACAGGGAGCUUGCUCCGCUGACGAGUGGCGAACGGGUGAGUAAUAUAUCGGAACGUACCCAAGAGUGGGGGAUAACGUAGCGAAAGUUACGCUAAUACCGCAUACGAUCUAAGGAUGAAAGCAGGGGACCUUCGGGCCUUGUGCUCCUGGAGCGGCCGAUAUCUGAUUAGCUAGUUGGUGAGGUAAAGGCUCACCAAGGCGACGAUCAGUAGCUGGUCUGAGAGGACGACCAGCCACACCAGCACUGAGACACGGUCCAGACUCCUCCGGGAGGCAGAAGUGGGGAAUUUUGGACAAUGGGCGCAAGCCUGAUCCAGCAAUGCCGCGUGAGUGAAGAAGGCCUUCGGGUUGUAAAGCUCUUUUGUCAGGGAAGAAACGGGAUUGGCUAAUAUCCAGUCCUAAUGACGGUACCUGAAGAAUAAGCACCGGCUAACUACGUG